CAGCGCCCAGCGCCCGGCUGCCCACCGCGCCGCCACCUUCCACCUCUCCGCCCCUGCUCGCUCCGGUGCCACGCCGCCUCCCCACGCCCAGCCGCCCACUCCGGCGUCCUCCGGUGCUACCGUGCUGCCCCGGCGUCUCCCCACGCCACCUCUGCCUCAACGGAAGAAAAGGAAAGAGAAAGAGAGAGAGAAAAGAGGGAUAGAGAGAAAAGGGAGAGGAUGACAGGUGGGGUCCUAAUGUUAUAGACCUAGAAUAGAGAGGAUGGAUGGUGAGACGGUUGAAGUAAAAAAAUAAAUUUUAGUGGUCAAAUGAAAUGGAGAGUAGCCAAAUAGUCAUUUGUAGAGUCUAAUUUGUGUUGUCUGUUCGAGAUGUUCUUAGCAUGUUCUUUUUGAUGCAAUUUGGUAUCUCCUUGUAGUUAUGCUUAUAAGCUAAAAUUUAAAUUUUUAAACUUAAAUUUAGAGCAGAAUUUAAGUUUUUUAUCGUAGUUUAUUUUCAGCUUUAGUUUUUAUAUCGCUAAGAAUACAUAUAUAAUAUAUAAAAAUUUUAUUCGUAAAUUAUUUUCUGUUUAUAAAUAUGAUGUUUGCUUUUUUUACUGAAUAAACCAAACAAUCAUCCCUUGAUAGCUAAGCGUAACAUGACGUUGUAUUGGUGGAAUUUGACGAAUAAUCGGCGGUUGCUUGUGCUGGAUUUUCAGGUGUUUGGCAAAAAGAAGGUCGAGCCCGUGGGCAAGGAUGCAGCUCCAGAGG
rnacentral:lncRNA from 1 species